rnacentral:rRNA from 1 species
GGGUUGUGAGGUUAAGCGACUAAGCGUACACGGUGGAUGCCCUGGCAGUCAGAGGCGAUGAAGGACGUGCUAAUCUGCGAUAAGCGUCGGUAAGGUGAUAUGAACCGUUAUAACCGGCGAUUUCCGAAUGGGGAAACCCAGUGUGUUUCGACACACUAUCAUUAACUGAAUCCAUAGGUUAAUGAGGCGAACCGGGGGAACUGAAACAUCUAAGUACCCCGAGGAAAAGAAAUCAACCGAGAUUCCCCCAGUAGCGGCGAGCGAACGGGGAGGAGCCCAGAGCCUGAAUCAGUGUGUGUGUUAGUGGAAGCGUCUGGAAAGGCGCGCGAUACAGGGUGACAGCCCCGUACACAAAAAUGCACAUGCUGUGAGCUCGAUGAGUAGGGCGGGACACGUGGUAUCCUGUCUGAAUAUGGGGGGACCAUCCUCCAAGGCUAAAUACUCCUGACUGACCGAUAGUGAACCAGUACCGUGAGGGAAAGGCGAAAAGAACCCCGGCGAGGGGAGUGAAAAAGAACCUGAAACCGUGUACGUACAAGCAGUGGGAGCCUCUUAAUGGGGUGACUGCGUACCUUUUGUAUAAUGGGUCAGCGACUUAUAUUCUGUAGCAAGGUUAACCGAAUAGGGGAGCCGAAGGGAAACCGAGUCUUAACUGGGCGUUAAGUUGCAGGGUAUAGACCCGAAACCCGGUGAUCUAGCCAUGGGCAGGUUGAAGGUUGGGUAACACUAACUGGAGGACCGAACCGACUAAUGUUGAAAAAUUAGCGGAUGACUUGUGGCUGGGGGUGAAAGGCCAAUCAAACCGGGAGAUAGCUGGUUCUCCCCGAAAGCUAUUUAGGUAGCGCCUCGUGAAUUCAUCUCCGGGGGUAGAGCACUGUUUCGGCAAGGGGGUCAUCCCGACUUACCAACCCGAUGCAAACUGCGAAUACCGGAGAAUGUUAUCACGGGAGACACACGGCGGGUGCUAACGUCCGUCGUGAAGAGGGAAACAACCCAGACCGCCAGCUAAGGUCCCAAAGUCAUGGUUAAGUGGGAAACGAUGUGGGAAGGCCCAGACAGCCAGGAUGUUGGCUUAGAAGCAGCCAUCAUUUAAAGAAAGCGUAAUAGCUCACUGGUCGAGUCGGCCUGCGCGGAAGAUGUAACGGGGCUAAACCAUGCACCGAAGCUGCGGCAGCGACGUUUAUGCGUUGUUGGGUAGGGGAGCGUUCUGUAAGCCUGCGAAGGUGUACUGUGAGGUAUGCUGGAGGUAUCAGAAGUGCGAAUGCUGACAUAAGUAACGAUAAAGCGGGUGAAAAGCCCGCUCGCCGGAAGACCAAGGGUUCCUGUCCAACGUUAAUCGGGGCAGGGUGAGUCGACCCCUAAGGCGAGGCCGAAAGGCGUAGUCGAUGGGAAACAGGUUAAUAUUCCUGUACUUGGUGUUACUGCGAAGGGGGGACGGAGAAGGCUAUGUUGGCCGGGCGACGGUUGUCCCGGUUUAAGCGUGUAGGCUGGUUUUCCAGGCAAAUCCGGAAAAUCAAGGCUGAGGCGUGAUGACGAGGCACUACGGUGCUGAAGCAACAAAUGCCCUGCUUCCAGGAAAAGCCUCUAAGCAUCAGGUAACAUCAAAUCGUACCCCAAACCGACACAGGUGGUCAGGUAGAGAAUACCAAGGCGCUUGAGAGAACUCGGGUGAAGGAACUAGGCAAAAUGGUGCCGUAACUUCGGGAGAAGGCACGCUGAUAUGUAGGUGAAGCGACUUGCUCGUGGAGCUGAAAUCAGUCGAAGAUACCAGCUGGCUGCAACUGUUUAUUAAAAACACAGCACUGUGCAAACACGAAAGUGGACGUAUACGGUGUGACGCCUGCCCGGUGCCGGAAGGUUAAUUGAUGGGGUUAGCGGUAACGCGAAGCUCCUGAUCGAAGCCCCGGUAAACGGCGGCCGUAACUAUAACGGUCCUAAGGUAGCGAAAUUCCUUGUCGGGUAAGUUCCGACCUGCACGAAUGGCGUAAUGAUGGCCAGGCUGUCUCCACCCGAGACUCAGUGAAAUUGAACUCGCUGUGAAGAUGCAGUGUACCCGCGGCAAGACGGAAAGACCCCGUGAACCUUUACUAUAGCUUGACACUGAACAUUGAGCCUUGAUGUGUAGGAUAGGUGGGAGGCUUUGAAGUGUGGACGCCAGUCUGCAUGGAGCCGGCCUUGAAAUACCACCCUUUAAUGUUUGAUGUUCUAACGUUGGCCCCUGAUCGGGGUUGCGGACAGUGUCUGGUGGGUAGUUUGACUGGGGCGGUCUCCUCCUAAAGAGUAACGGAGGAGCACGAAGGUUGGCUAAUCCUGGUCGGACAUCAGGAGGUUAGUGCAAUGGCAUAAGCCAGCUUGACUGCGAGCGUGACGGCGCGAGCAGGUGCGAAAGCAGGUCAUAGUGAUCCGGUGGUUCUGAAUGGAAGGGCCAUCGCUCAACGGAUAAAAGGUACUCCGGGGAUAACAGGCUGAUACCGCCCAAGAGUUCAUAUCGACGGCGGUGUUUGGCACCUCGAUGUCGGCUCAUCACAUCCUGGGGCUGAAGUAGGUCCCAAGGGUAUGGCUGUUCGCCAUUUAAAGUGGUACGCGAGCUGGGUUUAGAACGUCGUGAGACAGUUCGGUCCCUAUCUGCCGUGGGCGCUGGAGAACUGAGGGGGGCUGCUCCUAGUACGAGAGGACCGGAGUGGACGCAUCACUGGUGUUCGGGUUGUCAUGCCAAUGGCACUGCCCGGUAGCUAAAUGCGGAAGAGAUAAGUGCUGAAAGCAUCUAAGCACGAAACUUGCCCCGAGAUGAGUUCUCCCUGACUCUUUAAGGGUCCUGAAGGAACGUUGAAGACGACGACGUUGAUAGGCCGGGUGUGUAAGCGCAGCGAUGCGUUGAGCUAACCGGUACUAAUGAACCGUGAGGCUUAACCUUACAACGCCGAAGGUGUUU